rfam:TPA: Bos taurus chromosome 14, whole genome shotgun sequence.
UCCCUGGUGGUCCAGUGGCUAAGACUCUGCACUCCAAAUGCAGAGGGCUCAGGUUCGAGCCUCGGUCAGGGAA